CUGAGCUCUUCUCUCUCCUCUCCUCUCUAUCUAUCUCCUCCUGUAACAGAUGCUGGGUCUGGUUGUGUCUUUCCUGAUCGCUGCAAGCGCGGCGUUCUCCUUCCAGCCUGUCCACUCCAAGCUGUCCCCCCACAUCAGUGCUGAGGUGUGAUGAGGUCGGCCACUUCCACACCUUCCCCUUUCUGCGAAGAGUGGAUUCAACGUGUUUCAGGGAACAGGAAGUUCACUCACAACUUCCUGCUGAUGCUGUGGAUCAAGUCAUCCAUUCAGAUUGGCUCAUGAACACUCACCGACAGAGCGUCAGCUACUUAAUGAUGCUAUCCAUCAGGUCAACUCAGAAUGACGAGUUUGCUGAUGGAAAUCUGCAGCUGUUAAACAGUUUAUGAUGUUGAUGGAUAGCUUAACGAUGAUGAUUGAGAUAGAUGCGUCAUGGCUUAACCAUGACGUGCAGCAGUUAAUGACAUUGACAGCUUAAUGUAAAAAAUAUACCAAAUUAUUUGUUAAUUUGCUGACUGACUCAUCCUAGAAAAAUUGAAUAUAAAGCAAUAGUCACCAUCCUAUUCCAUUAUGUAACAGAACUUAUUGUUCAUAAAUAAUUACCAUCUUAUUCGAUCAUGUAGUAGAACUUAUUGUUCAUAAAUAAUUACCAUCCUAUUCCAUCAUGUAACAUAACGUAUUGUUCUUAAAUAAUUAAGGUAAUGACUAAUUCAUAUUCAUGAAUACAACUGUUAUUUAAAAGAUUAUUUGAUUUAUUUUUAUGACUUUUUAAGUAUUAUCGGUUACUAACAAACUAGAAAAGUCUAUGAUCUUGUUGUUAUUAGAAAUGUUUCACUGUACAUAUAGAGGAACAAGAGACGAAAUGCUUUUCUUCCAAUAAAUACACCUUUAAUUGAA